rnacentral:lncRNA from 1 species
CAUCGGACAAACUGCUGCUGGCCUGGCGGGAAAUGGAGCAGGCCGUGGAGCAGUGUGGGCGGGAGAAUGACGUGAAGGUCCUGGUAGAACGGAUGAUGGCACUGCAGACCGACAUUGUGGACCUACAGAGGAGCCCGAUGGGUCGGAAGCAGGGGGGCACCUUGGAUGACCUAGAGGAACAAGCAAGAGAACUCUACAGAAGACUCAGGGAGAAGCCAAGAGACCAAAGGACAGAAGGUGACAGCCAGGAUAUGGUACGGCUGCUGCUGCAAGCCAUCCAGAGCUUCGAGAAGAAAGUGCGGGUGAUUUACUCUCAGCUCAGUAAGACCGUGGUUUGUAAGCAGAAGGCCCUGGAGCUGCUGCCCAAAGUAGAAGAGGUGGUGAGGCUCAUGAACGAGGAUGAGAAGACUGUGGUCCGGCUCCAGGAGAAGCGGCAGAAGGAGCUCUGGAACCUCCUGAAGAUCGCCUGUGUGAGUGACUUAUUCCGGCCUCUCAGGUCCCCUCCCUCAGCCGUGGCUGCUCUUUCAGCUCUGACCUGUGACAUGGAGUGGUCAGGGAAGCUCCCUGAAGGGAGGCUUCAGCAAUUACCUCAAAGAGCUGCAGACAGCAGCCAUUGCUCUUUCAGAGCUUCAGAUACCGGAAGUUAGGAAUCCAGUUGUCAGCAAAAUGGUGUCUCCUCUGAUGGAUCCAGGGCAAAGCC